UACGGAGGGUGCAAGCGUUAUCCGGAUUCACUGGGUUUAAAGGGUGCGUAGGUGGGUUGGUAAGUCAGUGGUGAAAUCUCCGAGCUUAACUUGGAAACUGCCAUUGAUACUAUCAGUCUUGAAUACUGUGGAGGUUAGCGGAAUAUGUCAUGUAGCGGUGAAAUGCUUAGAUAUGACAUAGAACACCAAUUGCGAAGGCAGCUGGCUACACAAAUAUUGACACUGAGGCUCGAAAGCGUGGGGAUCAAACAGG
rnacentral:rRNA from 1 species